rnacentral:rRNA from 2 species
CCUGACUGCUAUCGGAUUGAUACUAAGCCAUGCGAGUCAUUGUAGUAAUACAAGGCAGACGGCUCAGUAACGCGUAGUCAACCUAACCUAUGGACGGGAAUAACCUCGGGAAACUGAGAAUAAUGCCCGAUAGAACAUUAUGCCUGGAAUGGUUUAUGUUCCAAACGAUUUAUCGCCAUAGGAUGGGACUGCGGCCUAUCAGUUUGUUGGUGAGGUAAUGGCCCACCAAGACUAUUACAGGUACGGGCUCUGAGAGGAGUAGCCCGGAGAUGGGUACUGAGACACGGACCCAGGCCCUAUGGGGCGCAGCAGGCGAGAAAACUUUGCAAUGUGCGAAAGCACGNCAAGGUUAAUCCGAGUGGUUUCUGCUAAAGGAACCUUUUGUCAGUCCUAAAAACACUAACGAAUAAGGGGUGGGCAAGUUCUGGUGUCAGCCGCCGCGGUAAAACCAGCACCUCAAGUGGUCAGGAUGAUUAUUGGGCCUAAAGCAUCCGUAGCCGGCUCUGUAAGUUUUCGGUUAAAUCUGUACGCUCAACGUACAGGCUGCCGGAAAUACUGCACAGCUAGGGAGUGGGAGAGGUAGACGGUACUCGGUAGGAAGGGGUAAAAUCCUUUGAUCUAUUGAUGACCACCUGUGGCGAAGGCGGUCUACCAGAACACGUCCGACGGUGAGGGAUGAAAGCUGGGGGAGCAAACCGGAUUAGAUACCCGGGUAGUCCCAGCUGUAAACUAUGCAAACUCAGUGAUCCAUUGGCUUAUGGCCAAUGCAGUGCUGCAGGGAAGCCGUUAAGUUUGCCGCCUGGGAAGUACGUACGCAAGUAUGAAACUUAAAGGAAUUGGCGGGGGAGCACCACAAGGGGUGAAGCCUGCGGUUC